rnacentral:rRNA from 1 species
GACGAGGGGUCCUAGCGUUGUUCGGAAUCAUUGGGCGUAAAGAGUAUGUAGGCGGCUUUUCAAGUCAGAUGUGAAAGCCCACGGCUUAACCGUGGAAAUGCAUUUGAAACUGCCAAGCUUGAGUGCGGAAGAGGAUGGUAGAAUUCCUGGUGUAGCGGUGAAAUGCGUAGAUAUCCGGAGGAACACCAGUGGCGAAGGCGGCUUCCUGGACCAAUACUGACGCUGAGGCGCGAAAGCGUGGGGAGCAAACAGG